ensembl:lncRNA
GAGAGUUUUGCAGUUCCAGGCCGGAAGGAGUGUAAUUAUGGGUUUUCUCGACCAAACCCCUCCUGGAAGUCAUGCUACCUUUUGGACCAAAAGUUAAGAUCAUGGUCUGAUGCAAAGGAGCUAUGCCUUCAAAAAGGUGGAACCCUAGCUUCUAUCAAAAACAAUGAACAGUUACAAUAUGCAUAUGAGAUGAUUCCAGACGGAUAUUUCUGGGUUGACGGGAACUAUGUGUCUGGAUUUCCCCAGAAUAACUGGUUGCCGGGUUCAAAGCCAGGUGGGACAAAUGCCGACUGCUUGACAUUGGUGAAAUUCCCUGCGGGAAGAGGCUUUAGUGAUAUUGCCUGUUCCGAAAAAAUUGACUCUGCCUACGCUCUCUGUGAGUCCUAUGCUACCUACUGAAGUGUCCACUCAGAGAAUACAAAGGGAUGUUCUUUUUGUACUAUUGCACACACUAUUUAGACUUUACUUUAAGUGAAAGACACAGAGAAAAUUAUAAGGUAUAUUAUGGCUACCUAGAGCAUACCUACAUUUAUUCAGGUGUGACCUUUUAUUAAAUAGUUUCUUAUUUUGUAAUGGAAUUGUAAUAGUGUUAUGGAAGCUUUUUAAAGGCCCUGUGAAGUCUAAUGUUCUUUGUUUUUUUUGUUUUUUGUAAUAUUUCUACACUAUGAAGUGGAAACAACACACUGAAAUUGUGAC